UACGUAGGUGGCAAGCGUUGCUCGGAAUUACUGGGCGUAAAGCGCGUGUAGGCGGCUCUUCAAGUCAGACGUGAAAGCCCCGGGCUUAACUCGGGAACUGCGUUUGAUACUGUCGAGCUAGAGUGUGGAAGGGGCGAUUGGAAUUCCGUGUGUAGCGGUGAAAUGCGUAGAUAUACGGAGGAACACCAGAGGCGAAGGCGGAUCGCUGGGCCAACACUGACGCUGAGACGCGAAAGCUAGGGGAGCAAACGGG
rnacentral:rRNA from 1 species